GCCCUUGUGGCGGAAUUGGUAGACGCGGUAGACUCAAAAUCUAUUAUCUUCUGAUGUGGGAGUUCGAGUCUCCCCGAGGGCACCA
rnacentral:tRNA from 1 species